rnacentral:tRNA from 2 species
GGCUCGGUAGCUUAGCUGGCAAAGUACUCGUCUAGCAUACAAGAGUCCUGGGUUCAAAUCCUAGCAGAGCUC